rnacentral:rRNA from 1 species
GUAGUCAAGCUACUAAGGGUGCACGGGGGAUGCCUAGGCGCCAAGCGGCGAUGAAGGACGCGGUCGGCUGCGAUAAGCCCCGGGGAGCCGCCUAACAGGCUUUGAUCCGGGGAUCUCCGAAUGGGGAAACCCGUACCGAUUGAAAUCGGUACAUCCCGUGGCAACACGGGAAGCGAACGCGGGGAAGUGAAACAUCUCAGUACCCGCAGGAAAAGAAAGAGGAUUCGACUCCCCCAGUAGCGGCGAGCGAAAAGGGAUCAGCCUAAACCCGAUCUGCGCGAUAGCGUGAGCGCGUUGCAGGUCGGGGGUCGCGGGAAUCGCGCGUCUCGGGGCUCACACCGGGAGCGGAGUGACAAAGGCCAACCUAGCCGAACGGUCAGGAAUGUCCGGCCAUAGAGGGUGAAAGUCCCGUAGGCGAAAGGGGAAGCCCUCCGUUGCGCGAUCUCCCAAGUACCGCCGGUCUCGGGAAAGCUGGCGGGAAUCCGGCCCGACCAUGGGCUAAGGCUAAGUACGGCUUGGCGACCGAUAGUGGACUAAGUAAGGCGACUGAAAGGUGAAAAGAACCCCUGCGAGGGGAGCGAAAAGGACCUGAAACCGUGCAUCUACAUGCUGUCAAAGGGCUAUGCCCCGCAAGGGGAAUGCCCGAUGGCGUGCCUUUUGCUUAAUGAGUCCGGGAGUUACUCUGUCGGGCGAGGCUAACCCCUUCAGGGGGGCAGCCGUAGGGAAACCGAGUCCGAAACGGGCGAUUAGUCCGGCGGAGUAGACCCGAAUGCCAGUGAUCUACCCAUGGCCAGGAUGAACGCUGGGUAACACCAGCGGGAGGUCCGAACGGCACUCUGUUGAAAAAGGGUCCGAUGAGCUGUGGGUAGGAGUUAAAGGCUAAUCAAACUGGCCUAUAGCUGGUUCUCCCCGAAAUAGCUUUAGGGCUAGCCUCGGGACGUAACCGACGGGGGUAGAGAGACUGAAUGGAUUGGAGGGCCCACCAGGCUACUCUGUCCAACCAAACUCCGAAUACCGUCGGCGGAAUCCCGGGAGUCAGAACGUAGGGGAUAAGCUCUACGCUCGAGAGGGAAACAGCCCAGACCGUCAGCUAAGGCCCCUAAACCGUGGCUAAGUGACCAAGGAAGUGGGAGUGCUAAGACAGCUCGGAUGUUGGCUUAGAAGCAGCCACCAUUUAAAAAGUGCGUAACAGCUUACGAGUCGAGCAUUCCUGCGCCAUAAAUGAUCGGGCCUCAAGCCACGUGCCGAAGCUACGGACGGUGGGAAGGAUCCACGUCCAUCCCAUCGUGGUAGGGGAGCGUUCCAUGCCGCGGCGAAGGCGGACCGCGAGGACCGCUGGAGCGCAUGGAAGUGAUUAUCCGGACACGAGUAGCGCGACAAUGCGGGUUAGAAGCCCGCACGCCGUAAGCCUAAGGUUUCCUGGGCAACGUAAAUCGACCCAGGGUUAGCCGGCCCCUAAGGCGAGGCCGAAAGGCGUAGCUGAUGGGAAGCAGGUCAACAUUCCUGCGCCACCUGGAGGAGGUUAUCACCGAUCGGGGGGGUGGAGAAGGCUAUGCAGUCCCGGCGGCUAGAAAUGCCGGGUGACGCGCGUAGACGGGCUGCCUUGGCAAAUCCGGGCGGCUGCCCGAAAGGGACAACGUUGAGACGCGGCACGAGGCAAGCUGAAUGCGAGCCGAAGAUGCAGAUGCCCUGCUCACGAGAAAAGCCUCGACGGGACGAAUCCAGGUGCCCGUACUAAAACCGACACAGGUAGGCGAGGAGAAUAUCCUCAGGCGCUCGAGCGAGACCUCCUUAAGGAACUAGACAAACUAGCCCCGUAACUUCGGGAGAAGGGGUGCCCCGUUUCGUCAAGGGCUUCGCGCCCUGAAGCGAUUUGGGGUCGCAGUGAAAGGGGCUGGGGAACUGUUUACUAAAAACACAGGUCUGUGCCAAGGCGUCAAAGCCGCCGUAUACAGACCGACGCUUGCCCAGUGCUGGAAGGUUAAGGGGUGGGGUUAGCCGCAAGGCGAAGCUCCUAACCGAAGCCCCAGUAAAAGGCGGCCGUAACUAUGACGGUCGAUUUCCGCUACCGGGGGAUCCCCGCGGAUCCCCCACGGGCCGUCAUGAAACCCGGCUGAUGCUGGAAUCCCUGGAGAGGCCGGCCUACACCGGAAGCCCGGUGUGACAAUGGACCGGUCGUGGACGGUGCGUCCGUCCGCCAGGCAAUCAGCAGUCCCCCGCCGCCGCGAGGCGCCGACCGGGAUUCAGAGACUGUACGCCGGGCCCGCAUCGGACAGGUCCCAGCUUGUUCAUCCCCGAUCACGCCCUUCCUUGAAGGAUUGCGUCUCUCUGCGCGAAACGGAACGGACACAACAAACGACAAGGGUCACAUCCCGAUGUCGGGAAGAGACAGUCCGAUCUGCAAGGCGACUUGCAGAGAUGGACGGAAACGAUCCAUCCCGAGCGGCGAGAGCCGCGCGAGCAACACCCGCCUAAGGUAGCGAAGUUCCUUGUCGGGUAAGUUCCGACGCGCAUGAAUAGCGUAAUCACUUGGCCAUUGUCUCGAGGAGGUGCUCGGCGAAACUGCAGCAGCGGUGAAGAUACCGCUUCCCCGCCACUAGACGAAAAGACCCCGUGAACCUUUACUGCACCCUCGUAUGGGCUUUUGGUUGAACCUGCGUAGGAUAGGUGGGAGGCGCUGAAGCACGCCUUUUGGGGCGUGUGGAGCCGACGGUGAAAUACCACUCUUGUUCAAUUAGAAUCCUAACCCUGUUCCGUGAAUCCGGGCAGGGGACAGUGCGAGGCGGGCAGUUUAACUGGGGCGGUUUCCUCCCAAAGCGUAACGGAGGAGUCCAAAGGUCCCCUCAGCGCGGUUGGCAAUCGCGUGACGAGCACAAGGGUAUAAGGGGGCUUGACUGCGAGACCUAUUAAGUCGAGCAGAUGGGAAACCAGGGCCUAGUGAUCCGGUGGUCCCGUAUGGAAGGGCCAUCGCUCAUCAGACAAAAGGUACUCCGGGGAUAACAGGCUUAUCUCCCCCAAGAGUCCACAUCGACGGGGAGGUUUGGCACCUCGAUGUCGGCUCAUCGCAUCCUGGGGCUGGAGAAGGUCCCAAGGGUUCGGCUGUUCGCCGAUCAAUAGCGGUACGUGAGCUGGGUUUAGACCGGCGUGAGCCAGGUCGGUCUCUAUCUGUGGUGGGCGGAGGAGGAUUGAGGAGUGUUGACCCUAGUACGAGAGGAUCGGGUUGAACGGACCUCUGGUGCGCCAGCUGUCCCGCUCGGGGCACUCGCUGGGUAGCUAUGUCCGGCAGCGAUAACCGCUGAAAGCAUCUAAGCGGGAAGCGCUCUCCAAGAUGAGUCCUCCCUGAAGGGCCCUCGAAGACUACGAGGUUGAUAGGCCGGGCGUGUAAGAGCGGCAACGCUCUUAGCUUACCGGUACUAAUCGCCCGUUCGGCUUGGCU